UACGGAGGAUCCAAGCGUUAUCCGGAUUCAUUGGGUUUAAAGGGUGCGUAGGCGGAAUGAUAAGUCAGCGGUGAAAUCCCUCGGCUUAACCGAGGAACUGCCGUUGAUACUGUCAAUCUUGAGUACAUUUGAUGUGGGCGGAAUGUGUCAUGGUAGCGGUGAAAUGCUUAGAUAUGACACAGAACACCGAUUGCGAAGGCAGCUCACAAAACUGUAACUGACGCCUGAGGCACGAAAGCGUGGGUAUCAAACAGG
rnacentral:rRNA from 1 species